GAUGAACGCUGGCGGCGUGCCUAAUACAUGCAAGUCGAGCGAACAGACGAGGAGCUUGCUCCUCUGACGUUAGCGGCGGACGGGUGAGUAACACGUGGAUAACCUACCUAUAAGACUGGGAUAACUUCGGGAAACCGGAGCUAAUACCGGAUAAUCUAUUGAACCGCAUGGUUCAAUAGUGAAAGACGGUUUUGCUGUCACUUAUAGAUGGAUCCGCGCCGUAUUAGCUAGUUGGUAAGGUAACGGCUUACCAAGGCAACGAUGCGUAGCCGACCUGAGAGGGUGUUCGGCCACUCUGGAACUGAGACACGGUCCAGACUCCUACGGGAGGCAGCGGUAGGGAAUCGUCCGCAAUGGGCGAAAUCUUGACGGAGCAACGCCGCGUGAGUGAUGAAGGUCUUCGGAUCGUAAAACUCUGUUAGGAGGGAAGAACAAAUGUGUAAGUAACUAUGCACGUCUUGACGGUACCUAAUCAGAAAGCCACGGCUAACUACGUG
rnacentral:rRNA from 1 species